GGUUGCAAAGCUGAAACUUAAAGGAAUUGACGGAAGGGCACCACCAGGAGUGGAGCCUGCGGCUUAAUUUGACUCAACACGGGAAAACUCACCAGGCCCGGACACCGGAAGGAUUGACAGAUUGAAAGCUCUUUCUUGAUUCGGUGGGUGGUGGUGCAUGGCCGUUCUUAGUUGGUGGAGCGAUUUGUCUGGUUAAUUCCGAUAACGAACGAGACUCUGGCCUACUAAAUAGACACGUAUUUCAUUUAUGGAAUCGUGCAGCUUCUUAGAGGGACGGGCGGCUUAUAGCCGCACGAGAAUGAGCAAUAACAGGUCUGUGAUGCCCUUAGAUGUUUUGGGCUGCACGCGCGCUACACUGAAGGAAUCUGCGUGUGUACCCUGUCCGAAAGGACUGGGAAACCCGUUGAACCUCCUUCGUGAUGGGGAUUAGGGAUUGCAAUUAUUCCCUAUGAACGAGGAAUUCCCAGUAGGCGCGAGUCAUAAGCUAGCGUCGAUUAAGCCCCUGCCCUUUGUACACACCGCCCGUCGCUACUACCGAUCGAGUGUUUUAGCGAGGCCUUUGGACUGGUAUUCGUGAUGGCUUUCGGGUCGUUGCGGAGUGCCGGGAAAAUGUCCAAACUGAACA
rnacentral:rRNA from 1 species